CAGUAUUAGGCCCCGAAACCCUAAUUUGGUUUGAAAGGGAAAGGCAAGGAGAAGAAGAAGAAGAAGGGCGGUGGGGAAAUGGCGGAGCACUUGGCGUCGAUUUUCGGGACCGAGAAGGACCGUGUGAACUGCCCCUUCUACUUCAAGAUCGGAGCCUGCCGCCACGGCGACCGCUGCUCCCGUCUCCACACCAAGCCCAGCAUCAGCCCCACGCUGCUACUCUCCAACAUGUACCAGCGUCCAGAUAUGAUCACCCCCGGCGUCGAUCCUCAGGGCCAGCCUAUUGACCCCAAGAAGAUCCAAUCUCAUUUUGAGGAUUUUUACGAAGAUUUGUUUCAAGAGCUGAGCAAGUACGGCGACAUUCAGAGCCUCAACAUCUGCGACAAUUUAGCCGAUCACAUGGUGGGUAAUGUGUACGUGCAGUUUAGGGAGGAAGACCAAGCGCAAAAUGCGCUGCAGAAUCUAAUCGGGAGGUCUUAUGAAGGUCGGCCUAUCAUUGCUGACUUCUCCCCUGUGACGGAUUUUCGCGAGGCGACUUGUAGGCAGUACGAAGAAAAUGUGUGCAAUCGUGGCGGAUACUGUAACUUUAUGCAUCUGAAAAAGAUAAGCAGAGAGUUGAGGCAGCAAUUGUUCCGGAGGAGUGGCAGACGUAGGCACGACCGAAGCAGAAGUAGAAGCCGAAGUCCCCGCCGUCGUAACCCAGACGAGCGUCAUGGAUCAGGAAGGAGGGGCGAUCACCGCCACCAUGACAGAGGCAGACGGCCCCGAAGCAGAAGCCCAGGCCGGAGAAGCGGGCGGAGCAGGAGCCCAGGUGGGAGGAGAAACAGGAGUCCGGUGAGGGAGAGUAGUGUCGAGAGAAGGGCGAAAAUCGAGCAAUGGAACAAGGAAAGAGAGGUUGCUGAAUCCGCCAAGGACACUAACUGUAAACCCAACGAGAUUCCUCAGGGCGCCGUCCCUCAUGAUGAUGGCCAAUUCUUCGAUGAUAAUGCUCGGACAUCGGAGCCAGAAAAUGAGGAUAAUGACUAUUGAAGCCCCGAGCAAGUUUCAUGGUGCGGAUGAUUCACCGUUUUCUUUCUUUCAAAAUACAGGCAGAUGAUUCAAAAGUACUAAUUAAAACCCUAAAAAUUGCACCCCCCCUCCCCCUACAGGAAAAUUUCUUGAUUUAGGUAAACAGGCAAAUCCCGGGUACAGAUCAUUUAGGAUAGCCGAAGAAAGGUUUAGUUUGUGUUGACUACCUCACUUUAUUAUCCUUUUUCUCCAUUAGAGCAGUCGAUUGUUAGAAACCCCGACCUAACAUUUCAAGUAGGGUCAGGUAACUCCUGCCGGGGCAAGCACUUUGUAGUAGCCAGCUUAUAUUUAUAUUUGAAUACAUACAGGUUGUUGGCCAGUUUUGUUAACAGACAGAAGAUUUGCAGCGUGUGUGAUGGCAGGAGGACUAGUGCCCGAGGGGGAUUGGAUCUUUUCGACUCUUGAUUUCGUUGCACGGGUUCGUACUUCUUGUGGCUUGUAAUCUGGAUUGUGUUUAAUGUUUUCUUGCACCCCUUGAAUUUCUAGGAAUUGUGUGUGAUAGAUGAUGAUUUUAUGUGUGCCUUGAAGAUUAUUUAUGUUUCUUUUAUCUGCUGUUGGACCUAGAAUUUACUUUGUUCCUGUUA